UACAGAGGGUGCAAGCGUUGUUCGGAAUUAUUGGGCGUAAAGCGCGUGUAGACGGCAAGGCAUGUCGGGUGUGAAAGCCCUCAGCUUAACUGAGGAAGUGCGCCCGAAACUACUUUGCUUGAGUACCGGAGAGGAUGGCGGAAUUCCCGGUGUAGAGGUGAAAUUCGUAGAUAUCGGGAGGAACACCAGUGGCGAAGGCGGCCAUCUGGACGGAUACUGACGCUGAGACGCGAAAGCUAGGGGAGCAAACAGG
rnacentral:rRNA from 1 species